CUGGGACUGCAUUUGUGACUGUAUAGCUAGAGUACGGUAGAGGGGGAUGGAAUUCCGCGUGUAGCAGUGAAAUGCGUAGAUAUGCGGAGGAACACCGAUGGCGAAGGCAAUCCCCUGGACCUGUACUGACGCUCAUGCACGAAAGCGUGGGGAGCAAACAGGAUUAGAUACCCUGGUAGUCCACGCCCUAAACGAUGAAUGCUAGUCGUCGGGGAGCUCGUCUCUUCGGUGAUGCACUUAACAGAUUAAGCAUUCCGCCUGGGGAGUACGGUCGCAAGAUUAAAACUCAAAGGAAUAGACGGGGACCCGCACAAGUGGUGGAGCAUGUGGUUUAAUUCGAAGAUACACGAAGAACCUUACCUGGCCUUGACAUGGUAGGAACCCUUAAGAGAUUAGGGGGUGCUAGCUUGCUAGAACCUACACACAGGUGCUGCACGGCUGUCGUCAGCUCGUGUCGUGAGAUGUUGGGUUAAGUCCCGCAACGAGCGCAACCCUCGUCAUUAGUUGCUAACAGGUUAAGCUGAGCACUCUAAUGAGACUGCCUCCGUAAGGAGGAGGAAGGUGAGGACGACGUCAAGUCAUCAUGGCCCUUACGGCCAGGGCUACACACGUGCUACAAUGGGGCGUACAGAGGGCUGCAAUACCGCGAGGUGGAGCCAAUCCCUUAAAGCGUCUCUCAGUUCGGAUUGUUCUCUGCAACUCGAGAACAUGAAGCUGGAAUCACUAGUAAUCGUAGAUCAGCUAUGCUACGGUGAAUACGUUCCCGGGUCUUGUACUCACCGCCCGUCACACCAUGGGAGUUGAUUUCACCCGAAAUCGGGAUGCCAAACUGGCUACCGCUUACGGUGGAAUUAGCGACUGGGGUGAAGUCGUAACAAGGUAACCAAGGGCGAAU
rnacentral:rRNA from 1 species